UGGCGGCGUGCCUAAUACAUGCAAGUCGAGCGAACAGAAGCAGCAGAAUUACUUCGGUAAGGACGCUGUGGAAGUUAGCGGCGGAUGGGUGAGUAACACGUGGGUAACCUACCCUUAAGACUGGGAUACCACUUGGAAACAGGUGCUAAUACCGGAUAGGAGUAUGAGCUGCAUGGCUUAUACUUUAAAGGCGGCGAAAGCUGUCACUAAAGGAUGGACCCGCGGUGCAUUAGCUAGUUGGUAAGGUAACGGCUUACCAAGGCGACGAUGCAUAGCCGAGUUGAGAGACUGAUCGGCCACAUUGGGACUGAGACACGGC
rnacentral:rRNA from 1 species